rnacentral:rRNA from 1 species
GUAGUCCACGCCGUAAACGAUGUCGACUUGGAGGUUGUGCCCUUGAGGCGUGGCUUCCGGAGCUAACGCGUUAAGUCGACCGCCUGGGGAGUACGGCCGCAAGGUUAAAACUCAAAUGAAUUGACGGGGGCCCGCACAAGCGGUGGAGCAUGUGGUUUAAUUCGAUGCAACGCGAAGAACCUUACCUACUCUUGACAUCCAGAGAACUUAGCAGAGAUGCUUUGGUGCCUUCGGGAACUCUGAGACAGGUGCUGCAUGGCUGUCGUCAGCUCGUGUUGUGAAAUGUUGGGUUAAGUCCCGCAACGAGCGCAACCCUUAUCCUUUGUUGCCAGCGGUUCGGCCGGGAACUCAAAGGAGACUGCCAGUGAUAAACUGGAGGAAGGUGGGGAUGACGUCAAGUCAUCAUGGCCCUUACGAGUAGGGCUACACACGUGCUACAAUGGCGCAUACAAAGAGAAGCGACCUCGCGAGAGCAAGCGGACCUCAUAAAGUGCGUCGUAGUCCGGAUUGGAGUCUGCAACUCGACUCCAUGAAGUCGGAAUCGCUAGUAAUCGUAGAUCAGAAUGCUACGGUGAAUACGUUCCCGGGCCUUGUACACACCGCCCGUCACACCAU